CAUGGAAGUCUCCAAGCCUGUGCCAUCCACCUGCCAAGGAAAAGCACAAGGCAGUAGAGCGAGGGAAGCUGCACUGGCUGAGAGGCUGUGGAACCGGAUGAAAAAGCAGCCCCUGAGUCCUGUGGCGUUGGCUCAUACAGUUUGAACAUUUAUUCGCCUCCUGAGCUUGUACAACAGUCGUGGGAGUUGCUGCAGAAGCAAGCGAAAAGCCAGAUGAGCGCUUCUAAACUUAGAGAGAGGGAGAGCGCCUCAUCUCUUCCAUUUUCCAGGUAUUCCUGAGAUGAUUUAUUGGAGCUCAAAGCUUUGGGCAAAUGCGGGGUGGCUGAUCACCUGGCAGACAUCUUAGGAAACAGGAGCACCGGUCUGGGAAACUGCUGGCCUGGCCUAACACCUGGCGCUGUGGUGCAGGAGGGCAGCCACUGAGGAUUCUUGAGGAGAGAGAGACCAUAGAAUGAAUGAAAGAGUUGGAAAGACUUUAAAGCUCUGGGAGGCUGAAUCCUUUAUUUCGCUGGAAGAAAAACUGAAUGCCAAGAGGGCCUCACUUUCCCCAAAGCUAUACAGCCAUCAGGGGCAAUGCUGGGAUUCCCCCAUGGAUCUCUUGACUCCUAAUACAGUGCUCUUUCUGAUAUGCCAUCUGGCUCCAUAAUGAACAUUGUGUUCCAGGAAAAUCAGUCUGCGCUGAACAGGAUGGAAUUGGGGCAGGACGUCCAGUGAGGAGGACAUUGAGGCAGUAGAGCAG
rnacentral:antisense_RNA from 1 species